UCGAGGAUCUUCGGCAAUGGGCGCAAGCCUGACCGAGCGACGCCGCGUGUGCGAUGAAGGCCUUCGGGUUGUAAAGCACUGUCGAGGGGGAGGAAAACCCGCAAGGGUCUGACCUAUCCCUGGAGGAAGCACGGGCUAAGUUCGUGCCAGCAGCCGCGGUAAGACGAACCGUGCGAACGUUGUUCGGAAUCACUGGGCUUAAAGGGCGCGUAGGCGGACGACCAAGUCAGGGGUGAAAUCUUUCGGCUUAACCGGAAAACAGCUUUUGAUACUGGUCGCCUGGAGUGAGGUAGGGGCAUGUGGAACUUCCGGUGGAGCGGUGAAAUGCGUAGAUAUCGGAAGGAACACCGGUGGCGAAGGCGACGUGCUGGACCUCAACUGACGCUGAGGCGCGAAAGCCAGGGGAGCGAACGG
rnacentral:rRNA from 1 species